CCUUCGGCGAGCAGUAAGAGGUUCACGGCCAGAAAUGAGCCGCGUGAGACUCGAGAUUCAGCCAAAGAAAACUGUACAGUGACAUAUUGUCUAAGGCUGCCGGGACUCCCAAUGGCAGGAGACCUGGCCUUUCCGACCUUCCAAUAGUUUCCCACUCACCAUGGAGGGAAAGAAUUACCUGUGUCUGCUUAUCAUCAAGUAACUUUUGCAACAAGGGACACGAUUUAACUGAACCCCUAGGACUUCGCUUCGUAAAUGUGUGGAUUAGCGCUGGGCUUGGUUUGUACACGCUCUCUUGAAGAACCGGUUUUGAUAGCAAGGAUCUUCUGCUUUACCAACCGCAAGUUGACUGACUCACUUCAGAAACUUAAAAUUGUUGCUGGAAGUAUCUAAACUUUCUGCUUCAAGACGCUGACCACGUUUGAAGCCCAUGUUGACCUUUCCGGGUGAUAUGGUAGAACUUGCUGUUGGUUGACUUGGUGACAAGGAUAUGAAGAGGCGGGGAGCUACUGCAAAGGACAAAGAUCGCUUCAGUAGCUGUGUUCAUUCACGCUUUCUCACACAGAGACUAUUUACUUUGCUCUCCUGCUGUAAUUGCACAUUUCUGCAAAUUUUUACCCAUUUAAACGCUUCAUUUAACUCCAUUUUCUGUUCCUCGUUAACAGCUAAAAGGAUUUAUUUUUUUUAAAAAUCCUCUCAGAUAACGAGCAACUUUUUGUGUUGUGUUCUGUUCAUUUUUAAGCAUGGUUUUUCUAAAGAAGACAAAUUAACUGAAUUAGAAUUUUGGCAUAACUUUUACGCCAUUCUGCAUGGUCAAGCUCCCAUCAAAUUAAAGACUUCUAUAAGUUUUGAGACGCAUACUC